GACGAACGCUGGCGGCGUGCUUAACACAUGCAAGUCGAACGGAAAGGCCCUGCUUUUGUGGGGUGCUCGAGUGGCGAACGGGUGCGUAACACGUGAGUAACCUGCCCUUUACUUUGGGAUAACUUCAGGAAACUGGGGCUAAUACCGGAUAGGAGCUCCUGCUGCAUGGUGGGGGGUGGAAAGUUUCGGCGGUUGGGGAUUGACUCGCGGCUUAUCAGCUUGUUGGUGGGGUAGUGGCUUACCAAGGCUUUGACGGGUAGCCGGCCUGAAAGGGUGACCGGCCACAUUGGGACUGAGAUACGGCCCAGACUCAUACGGGAGGCAGCAGUGGGGAAUAUUGCACAAUGGGCGGAAGCCUGAUGCAGCAACGCCGCGUGCGGGAUGACGGCCUUCGGGUUGUAAACCGCUUUCGCCUGUGACGAAGCGUGAGUGACGGUAAUGGGUAAAGAAGCACCGGCUAACUACGUG
rnacentral:rRNA from 1 species